rnacentral:rRNA from 1 species
CGAAAGUUAGAGGUUCGAAGGCGAUCAGAUACCGCCCUAGUUCUAACCAUAAACGAUGCCAGCCAGCGAUCCGGCUGUGUUCCUCAAAUGACACGCCGGGCAGCUUCCGGGAAACCAAAGCUUUUGGGUUCCGGGGGAAGUAUGGUUGCAAAGCUGAAACUUAAAGGAAUUGACGGAGGGGCACCACCAGACGUGGAUGUUGCGGUUCAAUUUGACUCAACGCAGCAAAUCCUACCAGGCCAGGACACAGGAAGGAUUGACAGAUUGAGAGCUCUUUCUUGAUUCUGUGGGUGGUGGUGCAUGGCCGUUCCUGGUUCGUGGAGCGAUUUGUCUUGUUUAUUCUGAUAACGGACGAGAUUCUAGCCUACUAAAUAGACGCUUCGAUCCUUCGAGUCGAGCGUUCUUCUUAGAGGGACAGGCGGUGUUUAGCCGCACGAGGCAGAGCAAUAACAGGUCUGUAAUGCCCUUAGAUGUCCUGGGCCACACGCGUCCUACAUUGAAGGAAUCAACGUGUGCUUUCCCUGUCCGAAGGGACUGGGUAACCCGUUGAACCUCCUUCGUGCUGGGGAUAGGAAAUUGUAAUUAUUUUCCUUGAACGAGGAACUUCUAGUAAGCGCGAGUCAUCAUCUCGGGUUGAUUAUGUCCCUGCCCCUUGUCCACACCGCGCGUCGCUAUUACCGAUAGAGUGAUUUAGUGAGGUCUUC